CUAGUUGUAUUAUUAGUUAAUGCAAGAUCGACUACGUCGACUAAAGUUCUAGGUAGAAUAAUGAUGAUGACAAUUUUUUACCUAUAUGUCUUGACCAAGUCUCGUGCCAGCAGUCGCGGUAAUACGUGGAAGACUAGUGUUAUUCAUCUUUAUUAGGUUUAAAGGGUACCUAGACGGUAUUUCUAGCCCAAAACAGGGUACGGAUUUACUAGAGUUUUAUGUGAGGAGGGGAGUACUCAUGGAGUAGAGAUGAAAUUUUGUUAUACUAUGAGGUAACUGGUGGCGGCGAAAGCAACCUUCUAUGUAUAAACUGACGUUGAGGGACGAAGGCUUGGGUAGCAAAUAGGAUUAGAUACCCUAGUAGUCCAAGCAGACAAUUCUGAAUGCCAUAGAUUAGAUUCUUUUUGGUCUAUAAAUGAAAGUGUAAGCAUUCCACCUUAGGAGUAAUGUGGCAACACAGGAACUGAAAUCAUUAGACCGUUUCUGAAACCAGUAGUGAAGUAUGUUAUUUAAUUUGAUGGUCCACAAAAAACCUUACCACAACUUGAAUAUUUUUUAAUUAAUACAAGCGUUGCACGGCUGUCUUCAGUUAAUGUCGUGAGAUUUUGGUUAACUCCAUUAAUUAACGUAAACCCUUACUUUAUU
rnacentral:rRNA from 1 species